UGGGGAAUAUUGGACAAUGGGCGAAAGCCUGAUCCAGCCAUGCCGCGUGUGUGAAGAAGGCCUUUUGGUUGUAAAGCACUUUAAGCGAGGAGGAGGCUACUAGUACUAAUACUACUGGAUAGUGGACGUUACUCGCAGAAUAAGCACCGGCUAACUCUGUGCCAGCAGCCGCGGUAAUACAGAGGGUGCGAGCGUUAAUCGGAUUUACUGGGCGUAAAGCGUGCGUAGGCGGCUAAUUGAGUCGGAUGUGAAAUCCCCGAGCUUAACUUGGGAAUUGCAUUCGAUACUGGUUAGCUAGAGUGUGGGAGAGGAUGGUAGAAUUCCAGGUGUAGCGGUGAAAUGCGUAGAGAUCUGGAGGAAUACCGAUGGCGAAGGCAGCCAUCUGGCCUAACACUGACGCUGAGGUACGAAAGCAUGGGGAGCAAACAGG
rnacentral:rRNA from 1 species